UACGUAGGGUGCGAGCGUUGUCCGGAAUUACUGGGCGUAAAGAGCUCGUAGGUGGUUUGUCGCGUUGUCCGUGAAAACUCACAGCUUAACUGUGGGCGUGCGGGCGAUACGGGCAGACUGGAGUACUGCAGGGGAGACUGGAAUUCCUGGUGUAGCGGUGGAAUGCGCCAGAUAUCAGGAGGAACACCGGUGGCGAAGGCGGGUCUCUGGGCAGUAACUGACGCUGAGGAGCGAAAGCGUGGGGAGCGAACAGG
rnacentral:rRNA from 1 species